AAGUCGAGCGGACAGAUGGGAGCUUGCUCCCUGAUGUUAGCGGCGGACGGGUGAGUAACACGUGGGUAACCUGCCUGUAAGACUGGGAUAACUCCGGGAAACCGGGGCUAAUACCGGAUGGUUGUUUGAACCGCAUGGUUCAAACAUAAAAGGUGGCUUCGGCUACCACUUACAGAUGGACCCGCGGCGCAUUAGCUAGUUGGUGAGGUAACGGCUCACCAAGGCAACGAUGCGUAGCCGACCUGAGAGGGUGAUCGGCCACACUGGGACUGAGACACGGCCCAGACUCCUACGGGAGGCAGCAGUAGGGAAUCUUCCGCAAUGGACGAAAGUCUGACGGAGCAACGCCGCGUGAGUGAUGAAGGUUUUCGGAUCGUAAAGCUCUGUUGUUAGGGAAGAACAAGUACCGUUCGAAUAGGGCGGUACCUUGACGGUACCUAACCAGAAAGCCACGGCUAACUACGUGCCAGCAGCCGCGGUAAUACGUAGGUGGCAAGCGUUGUCCGGAAUUAUUGGGCGUAAAGGGCUCGCAGGCGGUUUCUUAAGUCUGAUGUGAAAGCCCCCGGCUCAACCGGGGAGGGUCAUUGGAAACUGGGGAACUUGAGUGCAGAAGAGGAGAGUGGAAUUCCACGUGUAGCGGUGAAAUGCGUAGAGAUGUGGAGGAACACCAGUGGCGAAGGCGACUCUCUGGUCUGUAACUGACGCUGAGGAGCGAAAGCGUGGGGAGCGAACAGGAUUAGAUACCCUGGUAGUCCACGCCGUAAACGAUGAGUGCUAAGUGUUAGGGGGUUUCCGCCCCUUAGUGCUGCAGCUAACGCAUUAAGCACUCCGCCUGGGGAGUACGGUCGCAAGACUGAAACUCAAAGGAAUUGACGGGGGCCCGCACAAGCGGUGGAGCAUGUGGGUUUAAUUCGAAGCAACGCGAAGAACCUUACCAGGUCUUGACAUCCUCUGACAAUCCUAGAGAUAGGACGUCCCCUUCGGGGGCAGAGUGACAGGUGGUGCAUGGUUGUCGUCAGCUCGUGUCGUGAGAUGUUGGGUUAAGUCCCGCAACGAGCGCAACCCUUGAUCUUAGUUGCCAGCAUUCAGUUGGGCACUCUAAGGUGACUGCCGGUGACAAACCGGAGGAAGGUGGGGAUGACGUCAAAUCAUCAUGCCCCUUAUGACCUGGGCUACACACGUGCUACAAUGGACAGAACAAAGGGCAGCGAAACCGCGAGGUUAAGCCAAUCCCACAAAUCUGUUCUCAGUUCGGAUCGCAGUCUGCAACUCGACUGCGUGAAGCUGGAAUCGCUAGUAAUCGCGGAUCGCAUGCCGCGGUGAAUACGUUCCCGGGCCUUGUACACACCGCCCUCACACCACCAGAGUUUCUAAAGCCGAAUCGGUGACGUAACCUUUAGGAGGC
rnacentral:rRNA from 1 species